UACGUAGGGUGCGAGCGUUGUCCGGAAUUAUUGGGCGUAAAGGGCUCGUAGGCGGUCUGUCGCGUCGGGAGUGAAAACUCAGGGCUUAACCCUGAGCCUGCUUCCGAUACGGGCAGACUAGAGGUAUGCAGGGGAGAACGGAAUUCCUGGUGUAGCGGUGAAAUGCGCAGAUAUCAGGAGGAACACCGGUGGCGAAGGCGGUGCUCUGGGCAUUACCUGACGCUGAGGAGCGAAAGUGUGGGGAGCGAACAGG
rnacentral:rRNA from 1 species